GAGAGGUGCUGCAUGGCUGUCGUCAGCUCGUGUUGUGAAAUGUUGGGUUAAGUCUCGCAACGAGCGCAACCCCUAUCGUCUGUUGCCAGCAUUAAGUUGGGCACCCUGACGAGACUGCCUGGGUUAACCAGGAGGAAGGUGGGGAUGACGUCAAGUCCUCAUGGCCCUUAUGUCUAGGGCUACACACGUAAUACAAUGGCGCGUACAAAGGGGAGCGAACUCGCAAGGGGGAGCGAAUCUCAAAAAGCGCGCCUCAGUUCGGAUUGAAGUCUGCAACUCGACUUCAUGAAGUUGGAAUCGCUAGUA
rnacentral:rRNA from 1 species